AAUGAACGCUGGCGGCGCGCCUAAUACAUGCAAGUCGAGCGAGAAGACGUAGCAAUACGUUUGUAAAGCGGCGAACGGGUGAGGAAUACAUGGGUAACCUACCCUAGAGUGGGGAAUAACUAGCCGAAAGGUUAGCUAAUACCGCGUACGCUCCUUGGACUUCGGUUCAGGGAGGAAAGCGAUGCCGAGGGUAUCGCGCUCUUGGAUGGGCUCAUGUCCUAUCAGCUUGNGGUGAGGUAACGGCUCACCAAGGCUUCGACGGGUAGCUGGUCUGAGAGGACGAUCAGCCACACUGGCACUGCGACACGGGCCAGACUCCUACGGGAGGCAGCAGUAAGGAAUAUUGCGCAAUGGGCGAAAGCCUGACGCAGCGACGCC
rnacentral:rRNA from 1 species